rnacentral:rRNA from 1 species
AACGAACGCUGGCGGCAUGCCUAACACAUGCAAGUCGAACGAGACCUUCGGGUCUAGUGGCGCACGGGUGCGUAACGCGUGGGAACCUGCCCUUAGGUUCGGAAUAACUCCCCGAAAGGGGUGCUAAUAACGGAUAAUGUCUUCGGACCAAAGAUUUAUCGCCUUUGGGUGGGCCCGCGUUGGAUUAGCUAGUUGGUAGGGUAAAAGCCUACCAAGGCGACGAUCCAUAGCUGGUCUGAGAGGGUGAUCAGCCACACUGGGACGGGGCCACGGCCCGGACUCCUAGAGGAGGCACGAGUGGGGAAUCUUGGACAACGGGCGGAAGGCUGAAGCGGUAAUGGCGGGUGAGUGAUGAAGGCCUGAGGGUUGUAAAGCGCUUUUACCCGGGAGGAUAAUGACAGUACCGGGAGAAUAAGCUCCGGCUAACUCCGUG